rnacentral:rRNA from 1 species
UACGGAGGAUCCGAGCGUUAUCCGGAUUUAUUGGGUUUAAAGGGUGCGUAGGCGGUUUGAUAAGUUAGAGGUGAAAUGUCCGAGCUCAACUCGGGAACUGCCUCUAAUACUGUUGAUCUAGAGAGUAGAUGCGGUAGGCGGAAUGUAUGGUGUAGCGGUGAAAUGCGUAGAUAUUAGGAGGAACACCAGUGGCGAAGGCGGCUUACUGGACUGUAACUGACGUUGAGGCUCGAAAGCGUGGGGAGCAAACAGG